rnacentral:rRNA from 1 species
UACGUAGGGUGCAAGCGUUGUCCGGAAUUAUUGGGCGUAAAGAGCUCGUAGGCGGUCUGUCGCGUCGGCUGUGAAAACUCGGGGCUCAACUCCGAGCUUGCAGUCGAUACGGGCAGGCUAGAGUUCGGCAGGGGAGACUGGAAUUCCUGGUGGUAGCGGUGAAAUGCGCAGAGUAUCAGGAGGAACACCGGUGGCGAAGGCGGGUCUCUGGGCCGAAUGACUGACGCUGGAGGAGCGAAAGCGUGGGGAGCGAACAGG